UUGCUCCCUGAUGUUAGCGGCGGACGGGUGAGUAACACGUGGGUAACCUGCCUGUAAGACUGGGAUAACUCCGGGAAACCGGGGCUAAUACCGGAUGGUUGUUUGAACCGCAUGGUUCAAACAUAAAAGGUGGCUUCGGCUACCACUUACAGAUGGACCCGC
rnacentral:rRNA from 1 species